CAACCCUUAAGCCUAGCUUAGUGUUGGGAAUCUACUUCUCUUAGGAGUUGUAGUUCCUGAAAUACAACGGCGGAUUUGUAGUAUCCUCUGAGCGUAGUAAUUUUUUCUCGCUUUUGUUAGGUGCUAUAACUCCCAGCCGCUAAACCCCCAAUUUUUUGU
rnacentral:misc_RNA from 2 species